rnacentral:tRNA from 1 species
CGGGGCGUAGCUCAGCCUGGUUAGAGUGCUUGACUGGGGGUCAAGAGGUCGCAGGUUCAAAUCCUGUCGCCCCGA